CAGACGCUUUCUUCUCGUCUGUCGCCAUGUGAGAUGUACCUUUCACUUUCCUCCAUGAUUGUGAGGCCUCCUUAGCCACAUGGAACUGCCCUGGCAAUCACUAUUCCAGUCUCUGCUUCUAUGAGUUUGACUAUUUCAGAUUCCACAUGUAGGAAAUGCUGGAGUCCUUCAUCCGAAUGGUAAAUGGCACUUGUGACAAAAAUCAAAGUAACUAAAAAAGAAUCUGGUUGAAACCUCAGUAACAGUUGGCCUGUCUACUGCCUCACACUAACAAGGGGGAGCUAAUAAAACCGAGGUUAGAACACACAAUGUGGAAAUGAAAACCUUAUUCUUGUCAAUGGAUGGAGGGUGGAUUCUGUUAUGUGGAAUGCCUUUAUACAUCUUUGUCUACUGGUUGGGAUGCUGCUCAUUUCCCUUUUCCUGAAAGCUUUCCAGACACUCAAGGUGCCAUAAGGCAAAAUAUAAUAGUUUAUAUUUCUGUGUCCUCAAACAUCGUAAACAGUCAAUGUGUCGGAUGAACUUUUCUCCAAUUCAUUAUAACCAGACAAUAGGUUCUUUGAAGGCUAUGACCAAAUCGUGAGCCCAUUUUCCUUCCUUAACAUACUGCACCCAAAUGAGCAGAACCUAGUGGAGAUCUUGCGGCUUAGAGCUUGCUGAAUUUGGUAAAGACAAAAAUUCUUGUGUUAUGUGUGGUGGUUGCAUGUGCAUGUGUGUUAGUGUAGGUGCUGUGUGUGUGUGUGUGUGUGUGUGUGUGUGUUUGCAUGGGGCAAUAUGGAGAUAGUGAUGGAGUACAAGAAGGAGCUUGACUUUCAUGAGCUCCUGAGAAAACUCAUCUAUCCAUCAAUCCCCCAUGCAAUUACUAAGUGCUUAAUCCAUGCCAGGCACUGUUAGAAGGCACCAGGAAGACAAAGUUCCUGCCAUCGACACUUACAUACUAGAGGAGGAAAUAGGAAAUAAACAGGUAAGGAAAUACAUGCAAAGUAUGAUAUUAGGAUGUGAUAAGCAUUAUCAAGUGAGUAAAAUGGAGAAAAGGAAUAGAAAGUGACAGGGGUUGCAAUUUUGGAAUAGAUGAUUAGAGAAGUCCUACCAGCAAAGUGACAUUUGUUGAGCAGGAACAUAAAAGAGGUGAGGUAUUAAGCUAGGUACGUAUCUAAAAAAAAAUGUAUUUCCAGGCAGAGGAAACAGUAAUGGCAAAGGUUUUAGAGAAAAAAAAAAGUAUAACCCAGGUUAACCUCUCUUGCAGAACUAGUUUAGCCUGUCCCUUUUACUGGUGAAAUCACUGUUAAUGUUUCUGUAGUAAAGGUAGUGUUUUAAAUGAUUUAUAUAAUACAAUAAAAUUUGUAAUCUCAUUCAAGCUCCUUUCUUCAUCUUUAAAAUGAAGUUAAACUCGGGAAAAAAGGAUUGUUCUAGCUCUGAAUUGCUGCACUACUGUGACUUAAGUGCUCCUCUGCUCUCCUAGCAGCACUUUUAUCUUACGAAUUUAUAUUUAUAUAUAUAUGAUUAGAACAUUAUAAAGUAGAAAAAAUUAUGGUUGUUAUUUUUAUUAGUAGUAGUAUUUUGUCUGUAUUUUGUGAUUUCUGAAGCUGUGGCUACCUGGUUCUUUCUGUUUCAAUUAUGACUUUAAUUGUGAGGCAACACUGUAAAGCACUCAAAUAUCAGUGGUCAGGAAUGUGCUGCAAGCAGAUCCUCUCUCUCUUAUUAAUUCCAGAACACCAAAUGUCUUAGUCCAUUUUGCCUUACCAUAAAGGAAUACCUAAGGCUGGUAAUUUAUAAAUAAAAGAGGUAUAUUUGGCUUAUGCUUCCACAGCCUGUACAAGAAACAUGGUGCCAGCAUCUGCUUCUGGUGAGGACUGCAGGAAGCUUCCAAUCAUGGUCCAAAAAAUGCGGAGCCUGCGUGUCACGUGAUAAGAGAUGGAGCGUGAGAAAGAGGCAGGAGGAGAAAGUGACCCCCACCUUUACAAGUGUCUGUAAUUCUCACUAGCAGUAUAUUAGAGGGCAAAAGAUUUGAACAGACACAUCAGAAAAGAAGACAUACAAAUGGCCGCUAAGCACUUGAAAGGAUUCUGAACACCAUUAGUCAUCAGUGAAAUGCAAAUUAAAGCCAUAAUGAAUGGCGCUAUACAUUUUCAGAAUGGCAAGGAUUGAAGACCGAAAAAAAUCAAGCGUUGAGGAGAGUGACAAAUGGGGAGACAGCCGUGGUGCAUGAUCGCCGAAUAAAUACCAUGUGAGGAUACAGCAAGAAGGUGGCCAUCUACAAGCCAAGGAGACAGGCCUCAGAAGAAACCAACCCUUCUUACACCCUGGACUCAGACUUCUAAUCUCCAGAACUUGUUAAUGCACAAGGUCUUGUGUUGAAAAUGUAGAGCCACGAGAUAAAAGCAGCUUGGAUGGCUGACUCAUAUACAAGGACAACUGCCUGAGAGUCACCAGGGCUAUCAAGAAGUUUGCAGAAACAAGAAAUAAACUUUUACUGUUUUAAACUUUUGUGAAUUUUGGGUUUUGUUUAUCACCAAAUAAACCUAGUCUAUUCUGAUUGUUAUAAGUGGUUAAUUUGGGAAGUCAGAUAUAUUUAAAAUUGGCUUACUGCUGUAACAUAUACAGUCCAAAUUACAUAAUGGCUCAAAUGCAAUAGAAGUCUUUUUUUUUUUUGCUCACAUAUCACUUCACUGAGAUUCUGCAUUAAUUGUAAUGAUGAGGGUGAGGGUGUCU
rnacentral:lncRNA from 1 species